GUGGCGAACGGGUGAGUAACGCGUAAGCAAUCUGCCCCUAAGACGAGGAUAACAGUUGGAAACGACUGCUAAGACUGGAUAGGAGACAAGAAGGCAUCUUUUUGUUUUUAAAAGACCUAGCAAUAGGUAUGCUUAGGGAGGAGCUUGCGUCACAUUAGUUAGUUGGUGGGGUAAAGGCCUACCAAGACUAUGAUGUGUAGCCGGGCUGAGAGGUUGAACGGCCACAUUGGGACUGAGACACGGCCCAAACUCCUACGGGAGGCAGCAGUAGGGAAUUUUCGGCAAUGGAGGAAACUCUGACCGAGCAACGCCGCGUGAACGAUGAAGUAUUUCGGUACGUAAAGUUCUUUUAUUAGGGAAGAAUAAAUGAUGGAAAAAUCAUUCUGACGGUACCUAAUGAAUAAGCCCCGGCUAACUAUGUGCCAGCANCCGCGGUAAUACAUAGGGGGCAAGCGUUAUCCGGAAUUAUUGGGCGUAAAGGGUGCGUAGGCGGUUAAAUAAGUUUAUGGUCUAAGUGCAAUGCUUAACAUUGUGAUGCUAUAAAAACUGUUUANCUAGAGUAAGAUAGAGGCAAGUGGAAUUCCAUGUGUAGUGGUAAAAUGCGUAAAUAUAUGGAGGAACACCAGUAGCGAAGGCGGCUUGCUGGGUCUUUACUGACGCUGAGGCACGAAAUCGUGGGGAGCAAACAGNNNNNNNNNNNNNNNNNNNNNNNNNNNNNNNNNNNNNNNNUAAAUGUUGCCUAAAACCAGUGUUGAAGUUAACACAUUAAGUNCUCCGCCUGAGUAGUACGUACGCAAGUAUGAAACUUAAAGGAAUUGACGGGUACUCCGCACAAGCGGUGGAUCAUGUUGUUUAAUUCGAAGGUACCCGAAAACCCNCACCAGGUCUUGACAUNCUUCUNCAAAGCUGUAGAAACACAGUGGAGGUUAUCAGUUGCACAGGUGGUGCAUGGUUGUCGACAGCUCGUGUCGUGAGAUGUUGGGUUAAGUCCCGCAACGAGCGCAACCCUUAUUGUUAGUUGCCAGCACGUAAUGGUGGGGACUUUAGCAAGACUGCCAGUGAUAAAUUGGAGGAAGGUGGGGACGACGUCAAAUCAUCAUGCCCCUUAUGACCUGGGCUACAAACGUGAUACAAUGGCUGUUACAAAGGGUAGCUGAAACGUAAGUUUUUGGCGAAUCUCAAAAAAACAGUCUCAGUUCGGAUUGAAGUCUGCAACUCGACUUCAUGAAGUUGGAAUCGCUAGUAAUCGCGAAUCAGCAUGUCGCGGUGAAUACGUUCUCGGGGUUUGUACACACCGCCCGUGAAACCACGAAAGUUGGCAAUACCCAAAGCCGGUGGCCUAACUUCGCAAGAAGAGGGAACCGUCUAAGGUAGGGUCGAUGAUUGGGGUUAAGUCGUAACAAGGUAUCCCUACCGGAAGGUGGGGAU
rnacentral:rRNA from 1 species